UGCAUGUGGUCGCUAUUUUCCCAAGAUCUCGAAGGAAAGAAGAGCGAAAUUUGAACUCCUAGUACGAAAUGGUUGUGUCGUGCUAAAGUACAUGUAAGUGAAAGCCAUACAUAUUAGUUGUAGAGCUGUUUAAUUUAAUUCGCAUUUGUUAUUGCUUCAUUCAAUAAUCAGUAUUAAAAGCGUGCCUUGAUCUCAUGCAUACAAUUACUUAGCUGGCCAUAAGAAUUUCUGUUUGCUUUAUAUGCUUCAAUUCCUUGAUACUAUUGCCUACAUUUCCUACAAUACUGUUUUAAAGUACCAACAGUUUAAUUUGCAAUCUCAUAGUUGCCUUAUCUUCAACUGUUUUAGCUCACAAAAUUUGAUGAGAAAGUUGAUCUAAGUUGUAGAGCUGUCAAAGACACGCGCCGGUAAGCAUAUUGUCUUUAUAAAUGUUGUUUGUUGUGUGUCGCUCGGUUUUUAAGCUUCUCCUUCCAAUAAGAAGCUUUAAUUGAACUCGCGAAACUUACAAUGCUAAAUGAGAACGAAACAAAAGACAUUACAACAAAGGCGAGUUAGAUAUGGGAUCGGCGAACGGACUCGAAGUCCCAACAAGGCAACUACCCCGCACAUAAAUUAUAACUAGAAAUUUACACUAAUAAGAAAACACAAAACUUCAAUAAAUGUUCUCUAAUACCACUGAACAGACAGCCCAGUCUCUCGCUCAGGUUGACUGCACAUACCAACGGCCACUUGAAACAAAUAAUUGAUGGAAAAUAUUUCGGAAAAUAAUCUUAACCCAUGCGCUAUAGUACUAACCCUAAUUCUGGUUUUAAGAUAAGGAUGCAUAUUGUACAGUCAAUCUGAGGAAGAGACCGGGAUGGUACAGUGUAGCAUUCUCCUCAGUAACACACCUUCGCUGCUUAUUAACUAACAACAGGAAGGGCUGCCAAUAGACCUACAAGAAGGACAUAUUGUCUUCCACGUACUUAAUCUGUCCGUAUCAAAAACGUUCCGUAACUUUAUAAAAUAAUGUUUAUAUAAACGAGAUUUAAACGCACUAAUGGAAGAUGAUUUGCGAAUUUCAAGUGGUAGAUUAUUCCAAAGCUUUACAACAUGAUUGAAGGAGUCUAUAAAUAAUGAAGUACGGAGACGGUGUACUGGAUACAGAUUUAAACUAUCAGUAGAGCUCCUGGUGCGACCACUUGAGACAUGCCGUAAUCUUCAAGCUGUACAUUAAAUGAACCGCUCAUAUACUUGUAAACACAGCAUAAGUCACGACACUCCAACCAGUAGGAAAUAGGAAGCAGCUGGUUGAGAGUAAUCAAGCGGGACUUGUAGUUGGGUCGGACAUGAUGAUCGUUGCUGCAGUUGAGGUGAAACGCGUAGCUCGCCUCUGCACAGUCUCCAAUAGUUUUAAGUCCGUUCUGCAUGACUGAGGAGCCCAGAUUUCGCUAGCAGAACUGAGGUGGGAGCGCACCAGUGAUUAGUACAUCGACCUUCUGUGGGCAGGCCCAGUUAAGGAAACGCCGAAGUGUCGUCGUAGGAAGCCAAGUGUCUAGUUUGCUUUGGCAACAACAGAAGAAAUUUGGAGGUCCCGCGUUAGCUUGUUGUUAACUAAGACCCCCAAGUCUUUUGAUGAGGGAACGACAGCGAGUGGCUGGUCAUUGAUGGUGUAGGGAUUGACGGUAGGGGAUUCCAGCAUACUACUUCGCUUUCUAGAUAUUCUUAAUACUUCGCAUUUGUUCUUGUUAAAAUAAAGUCCCCAAUCUUGAGACCAUAUGGAACGAUAACACUUUGUGGAAUUGUUGAAGUUCACAGGGCAUUUUGAGUUAGUUUUAGUGAUUUAAUCGAGUUUCCAACGGAAUUUUCCCACCGAAAGGCGAAUACGAGCGAGAAUCCACAUCAUACACAUCUUUUAAAAGGCUCAAUUAAGUUUAAGACGUUUUAAUUAACUAAAUGAUUGUGCUGGAGUCAGCAAUUAAGACCGAGCAUUCAAGAUUUACUGAUUAACGAGCAUUUUGUCUUUUUAGUUUACUGUUGAUUUUGAAAUGAAAAGUUGAUACGAAUUAUAUGAAGCCCUUUUAAAUGCUUUGAGUUUGUCAAACUUGAGUUGUACAGUAGUACUAAGUAUAAGAUUACAUUUGUACUGUUCCUAUAAUUAGACAUCUCUGAGUUAAUUGCAUUUUGGAUGCAACAAACGCUCGUGAGUUCGUCAAAUCGAUUGAAUUUUAUACACAUUAAUAAAGGAGCUGGGCGGAUAGGGACAAAGCCUAUAAUACGGACAAAUAUCAGUCAAGUCAGACCCUCUAAUCACUAACCGAAGUUUCUUAUAGACGUUUUGGAUAUCGUUGUGCAGUUUUGUCAGCUUCCUGACAAUGACAAUGACACUUACAGUUCCUUUCCUAUAUUUUACAGAUUAUUCAAAAUGCUUCGGUUACAAUUAAGAUGACCAUUCAUAUAUUACAUCUGACGGCGAGAUAUUCAGAACAACAAACCAAAAAAGCUGAUCAAUGAAGCAUGCAGUUACUAGGUUCAGAAGAUAGAAAUGGACAUCUGCUUAGGAAAAAAACAAUUGGAGUAAUUGUAUGACAGCAUUGACGUGGAAACCAUAAGAUACUCAGAACAACAGAAGAAGGGAGAUCAAUGAACGAGUAUAAGAUCAGAGCAUGGAUGUGGACAUACGUUUAGAAUGGAAAAUGACAAUAAUUGUGUAACACCAAUGACGUGAAAACGAGAAGGGCGAAGGAACGUGCAACGUCAAAGAACUACACGGAAAAAAACUGUAGAGAAAGAAAAUGGUUGGAGAUCUUGAAACAAAGCCAAACGUGUAGCCAGAUCGAACAGCGGGAGCUGUAGAAAUGUACCGCAGCGUAAUGGACAACGCAGCCGAAGAAGAUAGGUAAGACGUCCUAAUUAAGUCCAGUUUCUUAGUAAUAAUACUUGCAUGGCGUAUAAAGAAGGUUAUCCAAUUUGUAGUGCUUUUUUGUGUUAAAAUAUUGAAUUCACAAAUAUAAUUUUUUCCAUGCAAGUAUACACCAAAUACAAGUCGAUUCGAAACUACCAGUCGGGGCUAGACUGCGGUUUAGCACGUUUUGGUGGCACGAGCAAAAUGAAAAAACCCAUUUAAUGUUUAGAUAAGGCCGGUUAGCGUUGGGGUUGGAAAGAGAGUUAUUUCAUGCCAAAACAUGUACUUAUUAAACCAGCCAGCUGUAUUUAUCGAUGUCCACUGGUCACCUCCAAACAACAGUACUAACUUUACCGGGUAAAUAUCCCAUAUAGGUGAUGUGCAACCACUCCCUUGGGAUUCAAAGAAUUACAAAGCGAUUUUCGCCAUGUUGGAUAAAAUUUACUUUGAAAAACAAGCAAAAUCCUUUGUCAAAGUCACCAACAUGGCGACGGUGUUCGCCUGCGAGCCUGGAAAAAGUGAGGCGGAAUAUCACCAAACUUUGAUUUGUGACCAGUCUUUCGUCUGUGUGGCUUUAUCCAGCGUUUUGGUCUUUGCCAUUUAAUGAAAGUUUGCGAUUUCAGCACAAACGUAUUUAAAAACUAUACGUUUUUGAAGCUUAAUUUUUUAAAGAUUUUUGAGGAUUUUCAAAUCCUUCCGUUGCUCAUAAAAAUAUGUAAAAAUAUUAAAUCAAAUUCCUCAUUUGUGGUGUCCGAUGGAAUCCCUAAUGUAAUGGAUAUAAAUGGAUUAAUUUCGAUUAACCAGUGUGGAUUAUAACGGUCGGCAAUCGGCCAUUUGCUGAACAAAAACAACAAAUGGCCGAUCAACUUUAUUCUGGUCGGACAUUUUGACCGAUGAAAUAUAUACAAAGAUUCCAUUACUAAAAUUCGAUUACGAAGACCCAAUCAAAGUGCUCGGAGGCCGUACGCUUCCCGAAGACCCAGAACGGAUGAAGAAGAAUCGGAAAGUGAACUAUCUUUUUCACUAAGUGACUGGGAUACUUGGUUUGGCAACAGUGAUGAGUCAGACGAAUGAAUUCAAACAAUAUAAUCGAACAUUAAAUUCUUAAAAGUAGAACCUGUUGUGUUUAUGCACAGUACUUUACACAAACACGUUUAUGUUCCAGCCGUUAUGUUCUGUCUCCUAUAUAAAGAGUUAAGAUUGGCCAUUUCACUUAUGCAUACAGUUACGCCUCUUUUACUGUACACGAGCAAUAUUUUCUUUGCUAAGGUUAGCUGUCAAGCUGUGACAAGUUUUAUUUGCCUGUGUGUAUGGAGAAAUGUUGCAAGUACGUUUUUCUUUGACAAGUUUAUUUGUUGCCAUAUUUCUCCAUCACAUACCGGCAAAUAAAACUUGUUAAAGUAAAACUUGGCAAAGAAAAUUUGCUCGUAUAGACGAUCUAGGCUUUAAGGCCUAUACCGUCACCGAUAGGCGAGGAACUCUGCUUCUGAUUUAAAUUUUCUACCAUGUUUUGUAGCGAAAUGUUCUAAUAUAAAAAUUAACAGUUUUAUUAAGAUUUAAAACUCGCGCCGGCGCCGCGUCCUCGAAUCGAGUGUGGUGUGUCUGUGUGUGGCAGCGUACAUUUGUUCUAACUUUGUAGCUUUCUAUAUAGGACAUUUCCAUGUAAAUAGAGAUGUAUGACGUUGGUGAUUUCAUGUUUUGUAUUAACUUUCAUCGAUAUAAAUGUUUCUAAAGUUAUCUCAUGCAGUAUAGUGUAAAAAAAUAUUAAGAAAGUUGGCCGACCAUUCUUGGCAAAUGUCCGACCAACUGACCAGUUGAUCGGACAUUUGUCCGACCAAAGCGAAAUCGUUAUAACCCACACUGCGAUUAACAUUGACAGCAAUCAACAUCUAUGGAUAUAGAGCUGCAAAAAGGUUAAAGAAAAGACGACUUUCAGGUGCAGAUUAUUAGUUGUUAGCCUGCGAACAGGCAUUAUGUAAUUCGUACCCAAGACUGUAAUUGUGUGUGCAUGGUCAUUGUGUCAGUCUCUGGGUUCAAUCACUCGGACAAAUACUUCGGAAAAAACCUGGCGGUCUGAUUCAGUAUAUUUUCGCAUUCGAUCGAUUUCCUGUAAUUCAGAGUUUGCAUGAAUAAAAAUAGACUUUAAAAUAUACUUUAAAAAACGAUUAAAUUGUGGUUUAAAAUUCCUUUAGUCUCUGAAAAACGAUAGUACCCGUAAGAAGACAUGGUGGAAAUCGUGGUGGACGUUUCAUCUCAAGAACUUACGUGAAGACUACAAUGACGGUUGAAAUGUGCGGUUUUCAAACAUGCUCUCCCGUAGGAAGGUAAAAGCAUGCAAAUUCCUAGUAGCAGGUCUUACUUCAUGAAAAUAGUCCGCUACCAGUGACUAGGUUCUCUCUCUUGUGCUGACUAUGGUGGUUCAAAGUAUUAAAUAGAAAACAAG